rnacentral:lncRNA from 12 species
UUGAUAAAAAAAAGUUUCUAGACACUCUCAACUGUGUAUUUUCUCUGUUUUUCAGGCAACUUUACUUGUUCUAUAACUGAUACCUUACUGUUUGUAAUGGCAGACAAAUCUCAAGACGUGUAUGAAACUUCCAGAAAACUGUUGUCUCUCUUGCCUGUAAAGGUCAUACCAGAAACCCAGAAAUUAUUCCAUGCAGACAGAAUUCCACAUGCUGCCCUCCCUCUGGAUAAAUGGAGCUUGUCUACAGUAAUUUCUCUGCAUUUCUGUACCCACGCACUUAUUAUGACUGCCGUUGUCCAGCAAUAUUUUCCUCCACUCAUCAUCAUAACAGCUUCUAAGUAUUUGAUGGGAUUAAACAGAGCCAACCCAAUUCUGUCAUUUCAGCAGCCAAAUUCAUGAGUCCAGGCAUCAGGAUAUUGUGAUACAAUAUCCAGAAGCCCAUUCUUGCUGGCUGUCAUCUGUAUGUUGUGUGGGUGGGUCAGCCUAGUUUUGAGUUUUGGAAGCAGAUAUACACCCUAUAUAGCAAAGCAGAUGAACUGUGAUAUUAAUAGUUGGAUUCCUUUGCUCAAACUUGCCCCUGACUUUUUUUUUUUAAGUUUUGUACUAUCUAUGCCUGGUGACAAUCAAGCAAAGGCUGAAAAGUAUCUGUUUACCUUUUCAUUUGCCUCAAAUAAGUAAUGAUUAUUUCUUAAUGUGGAGAAAAAAAAUAUUUGUUUAUUUUAUGUUCCCCACAUUAAAUUACCUACACCACACCCACACCACACAACCAAGUAAAGGCAUGGAAAGCAUUUGUUGGGAUGGAUGAUAACAGCAAUAAUGAUAAUUAAUAUUGGCAAUAGUAUGGCCCAUAUUUUAAAUUAUUAGCCUAAUGUAUUUUAAAACAAUUGUACUGGGGCACCUAGCUGGCUCAGUCAGUGGAGUGUGUGACUCUUGAUCUUGGGGUUGUAAGUUCAAGCCCCACAUUGGGUAUAGAGAUUACUUCAAUUGAAAUCUCAAAAAAAAGUUGUAUAGAGAAAAAAAUUUUUAGAUGUGAUUUUAAAAAAUAUUGUACUGCUAAUGGCUAGACUAUCUCCAUUUGGAGAAUAAAAAGAUUAUUGACUGUGAUUAAAAGUAGAAA